CUGGGGGACUGGCAGGUGUUUCUGCACAAAGAGAAAACAGGGGACAUGGGAGAAGCAUGUAAGCUCCUCCUACCUGGGUCACAAGUGUGGCCUGGGCUGGUAGGCAAAUGGUGGAAGUUCAUGAGGUCUUCUCAUCAUCUUCUUCUCUUUAGCCUUUUCUCUGUUCCAUUUAAUUUACUUCAAGAGAGCUGUUAAAAAAUUGUCUUCUUUUUAACAUUAGUUGACACCCAGAAACAUGCAGUUAGGUUAUAUACCUGGAAAGAGAAAGACAUGGGGAAAGAGAAGAGGCCAAGAGAAGCACAGGGAGAGAAAGAUCUUACAAAAAGAAUAUUUUGUGGGACUAACACUUCAUCUGUUAUUUUGGGGAAACUCUGCUGUAGGUAAAUAGAAUAAAUGUAGAAGAAAAAAAACUUGAAGAUUCUACAGAUGGGGUAUAGAAUGCAAGCAUCAUAUGCAUAAAUAAACCAGAAAUUAGAAAAUGAAUUAGGUAAGUAUUUUUUAGAUAAGUAUUCCAAAACCUGAAAUUUGAUUAGAACUCUAAGAACCUACAAGCAAAUAGAAAGUAAAAUAGAUAAAAUUUCAUGCUGUUUCUGAAUCCAUCAGCCAUAUACACUUUGUCUUGAGGAAGAAUCUUUUUUUUUUUUUCCCUUUUCUUUAAAUCAGUGACCUACGAGCUGUAGGCCACAUGCCACUCACCUAGAUCUAAUUUUAGGAUGAGAGUUUAAAAACCUGUUUUGGUAUUUUUACUUCUCAAAUAUGCUCAGACAGUUAACAUUUUAGUAGUUGAAAAGCAAUGCGGGUUAUUCUCAUUGGUGGUUUUAUAAUCAAUCCAGUAUAUAAUUUGUGUUUUCAGAGUACGUAUUUUUUCCUCAUGGUAUUCAAUAAAUGAGUUAAUUACUUUGAGUGAAAAAUAAAUACAGCCUGCAUAGAUUUCUGAUUUUCCUGAACAGAUCUUCACACCAAAAAGGUUAUAACAAACGUAGACUGAAGUGGUUUGUCUUUUCUCACCAGAAGUUCAUAUAUUUUUUUAAAGAUUUUAUUUAUUUAUUUGACAGAGAGAGAGACACAGCAAGAGAGGGAACACAAGCAGGGAGAGUGGGAGAGGGAGAAGUGGGCUUCUCACCAAGCAGGGAGCCCGAUGCAGGGCUCAAUCUCAGGACCCCGGGAUCAUGACCUGAGCCAAAGGCAGAAGCUUAACGACUGAGCCACCCAGGCACCCCAGAAGCCCAUAUUUGUAAAGCAAAAUACUUGAGAAGUUUUGGGGAGUGACUGGGAGUGGCCACUCUUCCAGCCUGUGAAGGCCUGUUUUAGAGAGAAGGCUGCAUUUUGGCUGCGCUAUUGGUGUGGUUUCUCUGGCUUAGUGGGACCCUGUUGCUUCCCACUAUGUGACCUGACAAGUGCCCAUCCAUACUUCUCAGUAAUGUGGGAGAAUCCCCCAUGUACAUCUUACCAGGAGAGAUGUCAGACAUUUAUCCAGCUGAGUUGCCCAAGACCAUUAAAGAGGUUCAUCAUUCUCCCAUACUGUUGUUUCUGUGAUGUCAAAUAAAAGAUUGUUUAUUAGCCAACUGGAAAAAAAAACUUAUUUCAUUAAAACGACUUUCAUUGUGAUGUUGAUCUGCAAAAGGAAAAUUUUGUCUUCAAAAGUGGCAGGGGAAUUCAACGUGCAUGUCCCAGUAGGUGUGGGUUGAUCGUUACCAUUUGACAUUAGGUCCUGGGAACCUGGGUAGAGGAGGCUACCAGAGGCUACCACAGUAGAACACUUCUGUCAGUGAGCAGUGAUACCAUCAUCCAUCCAGGUUUGCAACCAGAAAACUAGGUGUUACCCUUGAUGCCUCUUUUUCUCACACCACUUUAUGCAAUCCAUCAACAAGGAAGGUCUGCU